rnacentral:misc_RNA from 1 species
CUAAUUUUUUUGAUGGUUUGUUCGGAAUGUAUAUGUGUAAUGUGAUAUUUAUAUAUGGUGUUGGAGGAUCAUAUUGUUGUAGUAGUAUAUGUUCUGAGAUAUUUCAAUUAAAGUAAGAUGUGUAAUUAGAGUGAUUUAUUUGAAGAAUUGAUUGUUGUUAAUAUAUAAAUAUAUUGUAUGUAUGAUGUGAUAAAGAAUGUGAUAUGUAUAGGAUAAAAAAACGAGAAGUUGCGGUGCGAGCGG